GACACAAGGAUCUGUACAAGGAGGCCAUGAUGGAGGAGCACCAGCCUCUUAUAUCACAAGAUGGAUCCAGGAGGAGAAAUCCACCAGAGAGAUGUCCCCGUCCUCUGUAUUCCCAGGACUGUCCAGAAGAGAAGAUCCCAGAGAACCCUCAGAUGACAAAUCAGGGGGAAGAUCUGACUGAUAUUAAAGUGGAGGAUGAAGAAGAGAAGAU